rnacentral:rRNA from 1 species
AACAGGAUUAGAUACCCUGGUAGUCCACGCUGUAAACGAUGCCGACUUGGAGGUUGUUCCCUUGAGGAGUGGCUUCCGGAGCUAACGCGUUAAGUCGACCGCCUGGGGAGUACGGCCGCAAGGUUAAAACUCAAAUGAAUUGACGGGGGCCCGCACAAGCGGUGGAGCAUGUGGUUUAAUUCGAUGCAACGCGAAGAACCUUACCUACUCUUGACAUCCAGAGAACUUAGCAGAGAUGCUUUGGUGCCUUCGGGAACUCUGAGACAGGUGCUGCAUGGCUGUCGUCAGCUCGUGUUGUGAAAUGUUGGGUUAAGUCCCGCAACGAGCGCAACCCUUAUCCUUUGUUGCCAGCGGUCCGGCCGGGAACUCAAAGGAGACUGCCAGUGAUAAACUGGAGGAAGGUGGGGAUGACGUCGAGUCAUCAUGGCCCUUACGAGUAGGGCUACACACGUGCUACAAUGGCAUAUACAAAGAGAAGCGACCUCGCGAGAGCAAGCGGACCUCAUAAAGUAUGUCGUAGUCCGGAUUGGAGUCUGCAACUCGACUCCAUGAAGUCGGAAUCGCUAGUAAUCGUGGAUCAGAAUGCCACGGUGAAUACGUUCCCGGGCCUUGUACACACCGCCCGUCACACCAUGGGAGUGGGUUGCAAAAGAAGUAGGUAGCUUAACCUUCGGGAGGGCGCUUACCACUUUGUGAUUCAUGACUGGGGUGAAGUCGUAACAAGGUAACC